GAGGAAAGUCCGGACUCCACCGAGCAGGGUGGUGGGUAACACCCACCCGGGGUGACCCGCGGGAAAGUGCCACAGAAAGCAAACCGCCCCGAGCCGUACGCGGCACGGGGUAAGGGUGAAACGGCGGUGUAAGAGACCACCAGCAUCCCGGGUGACCGGGAUGGCUAGGCAAACCCCACCCGGAGCAAGAUCAAGAAGGAUGCCCCCGGGCAUCCGCGGGAGCGUUCGAGGGCUGCUCGUCCGAGGCUCCCGGGUAGAUCGCACCAGGCGGUCGGCAACGGCCGUCGCAGAUGGAUGAUCGUCACUCGGGCUCCGGCCCGAGACAGAAUCCGGCUUA
rnacentral:RNase_P_RNA from 1 species